rnacentral:tRNA from 1 species
GCCUUCGUCGUGUAAUGGUAGCAUACUCAGCUCGUAUUCGAGAGAUCCAGGGUUCCAGUCCCGGCAAGGGCA